GUGGGGAAUAUUGCACAAUGGGCGAAAGCCUGAUGCAGCGACGCCGCGUGAGCGAUGAAGUAUUUCGGUACGUAAAGCUCUAUCAGCAGGGAAGAUAAUGACGGUACCUGACUAAGAAGCACCGGCUAAAUACGUGCCAGCAGCCGCGGUAAUACGUAUGGUGCAAGCGUUAUCCGGAUUUACUGGGUGUAAAGGGAGCGUAGGCGGCGUGGUAAGUCAGAAGUGAAAGCCCGGGGCUCAACCCCGGGACUGCUUUUGAAACUAUCAUGCUAGAGUGUCGGAGAGGUAAGUGGAAUUCCUAGUGUAGCGGUGAAAUGCGUAGAUAUUAGGAGGAACACCAGUGGCGAAGGCGGCUUACUGGACGAUAACUGACGCUGAGGCUCGAAAGCGUGGGGAGCAAACAGGAUUAGAUACCCUAGUAGUCC
rnacentral:rRNA from 1 species